rnacentral:rRNA from 1 species
GACGAACCGUGCGAACGUUGUUCGGAAUCACUGGGCUUAAAGGGCGCGUAGGCGGGUUCGCAAGUCUGUGGUGAAAGCCUCCAGCUUAACUGGAGAAGUGCCGUGGAUACUGCGAAUCUUGAGGAGGGUAGGGGCAUCUGGAACGGUCGGUGGAGCGGUGAAAUGCGUUGAUAUCGACCGGAACUCCGGUGGCGAAGGCGAGGUGCUGGACCCUUUCUGACGCUGAGGCGCGAAAGCUAGGGGAGCAAACAGG